GUGUUAUUGGUAACAGCAUAUGUACUAAAAUUUUCUUGAUUCAGAGAAUAUUAGCAUGACCAUACACAAAGAUGAAACAAAUUCAUGAAGUGUUUCAUAUUUUA
ensembl:snRNA U6 U6 spliceosomal RNA